CUCCUUUCUUGGCAGGUAAAGCCGUUCUAUAUCUGCCCUAGGGUGGUGCAUUCUAUGCACUGUCAACAAUAUUCGUAUUUUUCUAACAACGUAAAAUGAA